rnacentral:rRNA from 1 species
GGCAUUUUUGGCGCAGUAGAGAUCUUGUGCAUGGGUAAACGCUUGACACAGGGUUUCACACUGAGGUCUGUCUAACUAAGUGCCAGCAGACGCGGUUAAACUUAGAGGCCCAGUUUUUAUUUCGCAUUAGGCGUUAAAGUAUGUAGUGAAGCAUGAGAAUAAAGUAAGGCGAACCUCUUGGUAGCGGUAAAAUGUUUGAAGCAAGAGUGGAAGUCCGAAGGUGAAGACUCCUUACUCCGUUCAUGUUAUAUCUUCAUGAAAUACGAAAGCUUGGAUAGCAAACAGGAUUAGAUACCCUGGUAGUCCUCGCCCUAAACUUAUACAAUAGCUUUAUUAGCAAAUAACCUUAUUGUAUGCCUGAAUACUAUGAUCGCAAGAUUGAAACUCAAAAGGCUUGGCUGUUCACUGUUUGAAUCAGAGGAGCGUGUAAUUUAAUACGAUGAUCCGCGUGUCACCUUACCUUUCCUUGAAAGCGAACUAUCUUUUUUAGGUAGUAGCCGCUCAGGCAUUGCAUGGCCGUCGUCAGGAUAACAAUAAAUGUUAUCCUUAACCCUAUUAUGGAUUAAGUCAGGUGUCAUGGUCUUUAUGGAAAGGGAUAUUAUGCGCUACAUUCUCCUAUACUAUAUAUAUAGUAAAAGGUGAGCCUGAGAUUCUCUGAAGCGUGAAUCUCAAACUUUAUGCGCUAAUGCGAAAGAAAAACGGGCGCUCCUAAGUUAACCCGCUCUCGGCUGGCGCUAGUAGGCCGACCCUCCCGUGCGAAACCAUGUGUCAAGCGUUAACCCAUCGACCGAGAUGUCUCUACGCUGCAAGAAGACUGCACUUGUUACUGUGUGAGGAGAGAAGACAACA